rnacentral:rRNA from 1 species
AGUACAACAGCACAUGGAUUAAUUGUGAAUAAUAUGUCUUCGUUUUGUUCGUGAGUUCUCCGUCUCCCUUUCACGGGCCAUACUCGUUAUAUUUGUUCCAUAUAAUGUUUCGGAUGUACUGUUUGCCGUAGCUCGGUUUAGAUGUCAUCAGGAAUGUUGACCUCUUGUUUUUGUUAGGCUGUGUCGGCUACUUCUAGCACUAACCGAUGCCUCGUAGAUGUUCAUUCCAGUCCACCUUCACACAAGAAUCUCUUACGUACGUAGAGAUUGUACUAUUUCUAGCCAACGAUAGGCAGGAGUCUAUUGUGCCUACGGUGUGGACGUACCCAUAAUUUGUCUCGGUUUCUCAUAUACCUUUUACUAUGCUAUAAGUAAGGUUAUUUGUACCUGCUUCAAGUGACCAUGGAUACACAAUAUUUACGGUCUUUUGAUACACAAGUUCACGAGCUGAGCGAUCCGGGUAGUUACUUGGCGUUCCUGGAGUGAUUAUGCGAUCUUCCUGACCAACUAAAUAAGUUUAUACGUAGGCUCGUGUACCUUAAUUUUAGGCUAUUCACCUGACUAGAUUUACAAUGUUGUACCUUUUCUCUUCUUAUAUGAUUCUCGUCAGAAGUCUGCCUACCCGUGCGGAGGAUU